rnacentral:tRNA from 1 species
GCCGAGAUAGCUCAGUUGGUAGAGCAAUGGUAUCGUAAACCAUGGGUCGCAGGUUCAACUCCUGUUCUCGGCUCCA